rnacentral:rRNA from 1 species
GACUAACGCUGGCGGCGUGCUUAACACAUGCAAGUCGAACGGAAAGGCCCUGCUUUUGUGGGGUGCUCGAGUGGCGAACGGGUGAGUAACACGUGAGUAACCUGCCCUUGACUUUGGGAUAACUUCAGGAAACUGGGGCUAAUACCGGAUAGGAGCUCCUGCUGCAUGGUGGGGGUUGGAAAGUUUCGGCGGUUGGGGAUGGACUCGCGGCUUAUCAGCUUGUUGGUGGGGUAGUGGCUUACCAAGGCUUUGACGGGUAGCCGGCCUGAGAGGGUGACCGGCCACAUUGGGACUGAGAUACGGCCCAGACUCCUACGGGAGGCAGCAGUGGGGAAUAUUGCACAAUGGGCGGAAGCCUGAUGCAGCAACGCCGCGUGCGGGAUGACGGCCUUCGGGUUGUAAACCGCUUUCGCCUGUGACGAAGCGUGAGUGACGGUAAUGGGUAAAGAAGCACCGGCUAACUACGUGCCAGCAGCCGCGGUGAUACGUAGGGUGCGAGCGUUGUCCGGAUUUAUUGGGCGUAAAGGGCUCGUAGGUGGUUGAUCGCGUCGGAAGUGUAAUCUUGGGGCUUAACCCUGAGCGUGCUUUCGAUACGGGUUGACUUGAGGAAGGUAGGGGAGAAUGGAAUUCCUGGUGGAGCGGUGGAAUGCGCAGAUAUCAGGAGGAACACCAGUGGCGAAGGCGGUUCUCUGGGCCUUUCCUGACGCUGAGGAGCGAAAGCGUGGGGAGCGAACAGGCUUAGAUACCCUGGUAGUCCACGCUGUAAACGGUGGGUACUAGGUGUGGGGUCCAUUCCACGGGUUCCGUGCCGUAGCUAACGCUUUAAGUACCCCGCCUGGGGAGUACGGCCGCAAGGCUAAAACUCAAAGGAAUUGACGGGGCCCCGCACAAGCGGCGGAGCAUGCGGAUUAAUUCGAUGCAACGCGUAGAACCUUACCUGGGUUUGACAUGGAUCGGGAGCGCUCAGAGAUGGGUGUGCCUCUUUUGGGGUCGGUUCACAGGUGGUGCAUGGCUGUCGUCAGCUCGUGUCGUGAGAUGUUGGGUUAAGUCCCGCAACGAGCGCAACCCUUGUUCACUGUUGCCAGCACGUUAUGGUGGGGACUCAGUGGAGACCGCCGGGGUCAACUCGGAGGAAGGUGGGGAUGACGUCAAGUCAUCAUGCCCCUUAUGUCCAGGGCUUCACGCAUGCUACAAUGGCUGGUACAGAGAGUGGCGAGCCUGUGAGGGUGAGCGAAUCUCGGAAAGCCGGUCUCAGUUCGGAUUGGGGUCUGCAACUCGACCUCAUGAAGUCGGAGUCGCUAGUAAUCGCAGAUCAGCAACGCUGCGGUGAAUACGUUCCCGGGGCU